GUUUACUCAUGGUUAAACCCAGAAUACAGUUAGUGUUAAAGUAGAAAUGAAGCUGCAUUCCAGGCAGGAGAAUCACUUGAACCUGGGAGGCAGAGAUUGUAGUGAGCCAAGAUCAUGCCACUGCAGUCCAGCCAUGGUAAAAGAACAAGUCUCUGUCUUAAAAAAAAAAAAAAAAAAGGAAAAGAAAUCACUAGAAAUUAAGC
rnacentral:lncRNA from 1 species